GCGUCGAGAAACAUAACACGUGCCCCACACGUGACUGCAAAAACCCUCAAUUGUAGAAUUUAGGGAAAAUGAAACCACGAACAAGAGCACAAACACAAAAACAAAAACCUCUAGUUACUCAUCAACCAAACUACUCUUCUCUCUUUCAAUCCGAAUUCUACAAAGUCACUUAUGGAGCCAUUGUAUCCAAAGUCAGAUCUUUGUUUUUCUGGGAGUAAUUUCAUUGUGAGGAAUAUCAUUUUGCGAACCAGAUUCUUCGAAUUGAGAUCUUGACCCAAAAUUGUAAUCUAUGUCGUCCCUCUGAGUGCCGAUCGAUAAUAUUAAGGAGCUGCUGUGAGUGCUGACUUCAUUUGGCUCGUUCUCCUUCAUUAGAGAAGCUUUUUAGACAAAGCAAUGGAAAGGCUCCCGGCCAUCAAGAAGCAUACAACCUACUACCGCUCCCUAGCUACGGAACACUCGCAUGCCAAGCAGGCGUCCAAGGGAAACUCAACAAAGCCUUCCUUCUCCACACAGCCGGAUCCUAAAAUUAGGAAAAGGCGGCUGGUGAGGUGACGACUCCUAGGAGAGCCAGGAAACAUGUGGCCAACAGCCAGGAAGGACCCUUCCUCCAAGUGGAGGAAAGUCCACAGUCGUCCCAGAGUGCAGCCGGCCUCCGAAGGAGGGAGAGGCGGUAGAAGGUAUCAGUUGUUCAAACCCCUUGCCCUACCCUCGUAGGGUUAAGUUUAAUCAGUAGUCGGUCUAUUGGCUGCAUUUAGACCAAGUACUUAUAGAGUAUUAAUUGUGCAAAUGCCCCUCAAAGGUCGGAUCUUGUACAGCUGGCCAACUCCAUGCUGAAAGCCGUCUUCCUUGAGGACAGGGAGGCGGUUAGAGGAGUCGGCACCCUCAACCCUCAACCUAGACGCCAUCCUAGCUCUUCUGGCUGAGUCUAUGUUGCGAGUGCACAGUCUCCGCAAGCCCCUAAACGAGAAGAACAAAGAGUUAAAGUCUGCGAAAGCUCGGGCCGCCUCUGUUUCUAACACAGCUAUGUUCCAGAUUGCUCAAAAUGAACUUCUUACUAAUGACAUACUGUAUUAUCAGGCGGCUGCCAACUUGCAGGUCAAAACAGAUUUAGAGGUGACCAAGAAGAGAAUCUAUGGAGCAGCAGGUCAAGGAUCUAAAUGCCAAGCUUGAGCCCUUAAAAGAGGCAGACGAGGAAACAGCCGGCCUUCGAACCCGGGUGGACAAGCUGAAAGCCCGGCUGUAAAAUCAGGAAGUCCAACUCGCAAAGAAGUAUACUUCAAGGGUUGAGGAGGAAAAGGCGGCACUAGUCAAGGACAUGAUGGACGACUGCAACGUCGUCAUGAAGAUGACUUGGGGGGCUCUCUUCCUGGAGUCCAACUAUGAGUCCUGGCAUAAUCAGUUUGUCGCCUCCUCUCAAGAGUAAAAUGAGAAAGUCAUGAACCAAGCCCAAAGAGGCUCAGGGAGAGGAUGAGGAGGAGUCGUCUGAUUUUACCUCAGGGGAGUCGGCCUAGGAGGAGGAGGAGGCGGAUGCCUAAAAGAGCAGAAGCCGACUGGGGAACAAAAGGAUGCGACUGCUGUUACUGAACAGCCCCCUCCUGCUGCUUACGCCUUUCUUGUUUUAAUUCUAACUUCUUCGGCCUGCGUGCCGGAUGCUCUGCUUGUAUCUUUACCGACCGAGGGGUCGGGUUUAUUGACAACUUUAACUUUUUUGUUGGUCAUUUGGCCAACUGUUUAUAUGAAUCAUCCGGCCAUUUUGGCCGGUUUCUCCAAAUUGCUUUAAAUGUUUGCAUUUCAUAAAUUAUGCUAAGUAUAAGUAACCUGCUUUUUGCAUGAAUGCUUAUUUCAUUAUACCGUCUGUUUUUUCCCCUAGCCGACUGUUUGCCUUGUUUUCAAAGGUAAAUUGAUUGACUUGGGAAUAUUUGAUACUGUAAGGAGUAUGACUAAUUUCCAGGUCAAUCAAUCAAUAUGGUGACUGCCCCAAACCAGGCGGUCAGUCGGCCAUUGCACAGGCGAACAUACAGCAUUAUCCGGCUCUCGGCCUCAAUAUUAGUUCUGUAGACGAACCACGCUUAGCUACUAAGUUUUGUACUUAGUUUAUUUUAUUGAUUGUAAGUUGCCUGUUUGUUUGGUACCUGUACAGAAACAGGCGUCAAACGGGAUGUUUAACCAAAGUAGCAAUCGAUUGUUGGGUUACAGGAGGUAGCUUUAAGUAUUUCGCUAACCUAAAUAGGAAUAGUGGCCGAAUGUCGCCUGUUUAUUAUAAGGACAGACGGCUUCGUUUGACCGUUUAGGUUCCAUUUUAGGUUAUUCAGGUCGAGCGACUAUGAAUUAACCUUUGUCACCUUUGUCAAUCUUUGUCACCUUAUUUUGAGUAAAUAGAAGAGGUAGACGGCCGUUAGCCGCAUGUUGUUACCUCACAUGUGCUAAGUUUUAGACUUAGCUUAUUACUCAAUUAGCUGCUAAAUGUGGAACUUAGCUUAUAUCCUCAAAUUUUUCCAACUGUGUUGCUGCUGAGCAACAACAGUCGGCAUCCAACUUAGAUAUUAUAGAUUACCGCAUGUUUUUAAAGUAGUCGGUAGUCAUUGUUAUCUUAGCCUCAUUUGAUUAGUUCAUAGAGCAAUGUGCCACCCAAAUGGGAGAUACUCUUUGCGAUGAAUUCACCCAAAUGGAUGUUGCGGAUGCCAGGGACAGACGUGUUAGUUUAUUUUAUACAAUCCGGCCAUAGGCCUCAUAUUGAUCAUCCGGCCAUAGGCCUGACUUAGAUCAUCUGGCCAUAUGCCUCAGAAGGUUGUUCUAAGAGGAACAACGCAAAGCCACUAAGUUUUCAGACUUAGCUUAGGUUUGCUCAUGUUGGAGCAGAAAAUCGAAACAAUUGAUAAGGUCGCCUGUACAUUGUACAGACGGUACUUUUAUAGAGAGUACAUAAAAAGAUAAAAAUUAAACCUUCAUUGAUACUUAAGU